GUUGUUGUGGACAGUCAGAUCAAUUCAGAUCACAUUGAAAUGUAUGCUGAUCGAACAGCUAAAGGAAACGUCCUUGAGCCUGAAGGAAUUAUUGAGAUCAAGUUCAGGACAAAGGAGCUGCUUGAGUGCAUGGGUCGGCUUGAUCAACAGCUGAUCACUUUGAAGGCGAAACUUCAGGAAGCUAGAAAUAGUGGAACUUAUGGUAUGGUUGAAUCUAUACAGCAGCAGAUAAAAUCUCGUGAAAAGCAACUUUUGCCAAUGUAUACUCAGAUAGCCACCAGAUUUGCAGAGCU
rnacentral:misc_RNA from 1 species